rnacentral:lncRNA from 10 species
AUCAUGGGCUCCACCUUUCAGCCCCUACAACUGAGCCUGGUUCGGGGCAGGUAGUGAGACUGACUCCGAGCCAGGCACGCACCCUGCCAAGCACCUCCACGUGGUGCCUCCUUUUAUUCCCACAAGGCUACAGGAUAGGUGGAAUUGGAAUGAGGAGCCCUGUUUUACAGAGAAGGAAACCGAAGCUCCUGUGCUGACGGUCAGUUAGUUACAAAGGUCUUAAUCCAAAACUCUGAACCAUUUUGUUAAUUUAUCUUUCAGUAACAGUUCAAUUAAGUUAGACAAAUAUCCCAAAAAGCUCUUAGCUGGCCCUCAAGGCACUUGAGUUCACAGCCCAGAAGAAAGGAAGUAAAGACACGGUAAGGUAACUUUUCUUUGUUUCAGACUCAUUAUGUCAGAGAUUAAGAGAGAGCUCUUCAAAAUUGUUGGAUCCAACCCCCCACUAUAAAGUUGGAGUAACUGAGGCCCAGUGAGGGCAAUGGCUGGUCUGAGGUCACAAGUGAGGGAGGGACGAGACCAGACUCUCUCACCUGCCUGUUGCUGUCUUCACAGCUAUGAAAACAAACACGCGCUAACCUGCAAUAAACUAGUCUGGUCAGCCAGGGUAGGGAGAAGUGCCCUUUGGCCAGCAGCCAGCCCCAUGCCAUGGUCACUGGACAAUCUUAGACCAAAGCCACAGACCAGAAGUAGGGCAGCGGGGGAGGGAAGGCAGAGGAACUGCAGUUGCGCCUACUUGCUUAUCAGUGACCUGCAUGAAGGAAACUUUCCAUGCACCUCUCCAGAUCAAGAUCACAUCGGGCACCCUUGCAUAGUUCAAAAGAGGAAGUUUGGGCUUGGUUGAAAUGGAUGAAGAGCAUACAGAAAUGUCCAGACAGCGAGAGGGGAUGAGGGGGAACCUGAGGCCCGGAGCAGGGCUGGGCCAGCCUUCCCAGGCUUGCUGCAAACUCAGAUUCUCCUGUGCGCUUCCCGGGAAACACCUUGCAAGAAUUUAAAGACGUAACUCGCUCCUGGACAGACUUUACAACCUCAAGCUCUAAUGAGGAAAAUCCAGGCUGCAGGCUCUAGGUAGAAGACAGAGGCCCUCACUGGAAAUGUGUUUAUGUGUUUGUGUAUCUCUUUUUAUUUCUUCCUUAGAAAUAAAAAGUGUCAAGGGAAUGAAUCGGAGGCAUAC